rnacentral:rRNA from 1 species
AGUGAACGCUGGCGGUAGGCCUAACACAUGCAAGUCGAACGGCAGCACAGGAUGGCUUGCUCUCUGGGUGGCGCGUGGCGCACGGGUGUGGAAUACAUCGGAAUCUGCCCAGUCGUGGGGGAUAACGUAGGGAAACUUACGCUAUUACCGCAUACGACCUUCGGGUGAAAGAUGGGGAUCGCAAGACCUCUCUCGAUUGGAUGAGCCGAUGUCGGAUUAGCUAGUUGGCGGGGUAAUGGCCCACCAAGGCGACGAUCAGUAGCUGGUCUGAGAGGAUGAUCAGCCAAACUGGAACUGAGACAAGGUCAAGACUCCUACGGGAGGCAGCAGUGGGGAAUAUUGGACAAUGGGCGCAAGCCUGAUCCAGCAAUACCGCGUGGGUGAAGAAGGCCUUCGGGUUGUAAAGCCCUUUUGUAGGGAAAGAAAUCGGUCAGGCUAAUACCCUGAGAGGAUGACGGUACCUAAAGAAUAAGCAACGGCUAACUUCGUG